GAGACUCUGACAGACUGUCACGACCCACUACACACUCUUACCACAACUCACGACCCAACAACCGAGGAGCUGCCAGACGACUAACCCCAACUCUUACUGGCCCCAAGGAUAAGACCAGUAGACCAACCUUUGCCGCUCUCCCUGCAUCGGCCGGGCCCCCAGGGACCCCCGCGCCCCGGACGCGGGGCACCCAUUACCCAAACACCACAAACACAC